rnacentral:rRNA from 1 species
AUUGAACGCUGGCGGCAGGCCUAACACAUGCAAGUCGAACGGUAACAGGAAGAAUCUUGCUUCUUUGCUGACGAGUGGCGGACGGGUGAGUAAUGUCUGGGAAACUGCCUGAUGGAGGGGGAUAACUACUGGAAACGGUAGCUAAUACCGCAUAACGUCGCAAGACCAAAGAGGGGGACCUUCGGGCCUCUUGCCAUCGGAUGUGCCCAGAUGGGAUUAGCUAGUAGGUGGGGUAACGGCUCACCUAGGCGAUGAUCCCUAGCUGGUCUGAGAGGAUGACCAGCCACACUGGAACUGAGACACGGUCCAGACUCCUACGGGAGGCAGCAGUGGGGAAUAUUGCACAAUGGGCGCAAGCCUGAUGCAGCCAUGCCGCGUGUAUGAAGAAGGCCUUCGGGUUGUAAAGUACUUUCAGCGGGGAGGAAGGGAGUAAAGUUAAUACCUUUGCUCAUUGACGUUACCCGCAGAAGAAGCACCGGCUAACUCCGUG